rnacentral:rRNA from 1 species
UACGUAGGGUGCGAGCGUUAAUCGGAAUUACUGGGCGUAAAGCGUGCGUAGGCGGUUCGUUAUGUCUGCUGUGAAAGCCCCGGGCUUAACCUGGGAAGUGGCAGUGGAAACUGGCGGGCUUGAGUGUGGCAGAGGGGGGUGGAAUUCCGCGUGUAGCAGUGAAAUGCGUAGAGAUGCGGAGGAACACCGAUGGCGAAGGCAGCCCCCUGGGCUGACACUGACGCUGAGGCACGAAAGCGUGGGGAGCAACA